rnacentral:rRNA from 1 species
UCCGUAGGCGGGCGUCUAAGUCAGUGGUGAAAUCUUACAGCUCAACUGUAAAAUUGCCAUUGAUACUGGAUGUCUUGAAUUAGUGUGAAGUGGUUAGAAUGUGUAGUGUAGCGGUGAAAUGCAUAGAUAUUACACAGAAUACCAAUUGCGAAGGCAGAUCACUAACACUAUAUUGACCCUGAGGGACGAAAGCGUGGGGAGCGAACAGGAUUAGAUACCCUGGUAGUCC